rnacentral:misc_RNA from 1 species
AACGCACCUUGCGCCCUUUGGCUAUUCUGAAGGGCAUGCCUGUUUGAGUAUCAUGAACACCUCAACUCUCGUGGUCCGCCACGAUGAGCUUGGACUUUGGGGGUCUUGCCGGCCUAGCGUCGGCUCCUCUCAAACGGAUCAGCUUGCCAGUGUUUGGUGGCGUCACGGGUGUGAUAACUAUCUACGCUUGUGGUUUUCCGCCAUGCAACCUUCAGCGAUGGAGGUUCGCUGGAGCUCACAGAUGUCUCUCCUCGGUGAGGACAGCUUUUGAACGUUUGAUCUCAAAUCAGGUAGGACUACCCGCUGAACUUAA